UACGUAGGUCCCGAGCGUUGUCCGGAUUUAUUGGGCGUAAAGCGAGCGCAGGUGGUUUCUUAAGUCUGAUGUGAAAGCCCACGGCUCAACCGUGGAGGGUCAUUGGAAACUGGGAGACUUGAGUGCAGAAGAGGAAAGUGGAAUUCCAUGUGUAGCGGUGAAAUGCGUAGAGAUAUGGAGGAACACCAGUGGCGAAGGCGACUUUCUGGUCUGUAACUGACACUGAGGCGCGAAAGCGUGGGGAGCAAACAGG
rnacentral:rRNA from 1 species